rnacentral:rRNA from 1 species
UACGUAGGCAGCAAGCGUUGUUCGGAGUUACUGGGCGUAAAGAGUGCGUAGGCGGUGCUCUAAGUUUGGUGUGAAACCUCCCGGCUUAACUGGGAGGGUGCGCCGAAAACUGGAGUGCUUGAGUAUGGGAGAGGCAAGCGGAAUUCCUGGUGUAGCGGUGAAAUGCGCAGAUAUCAGGAGGAACACCGGUGGCGAAGGCGGAUCUCUGGGCCUUACCUGACGCUCAGGCGCGAAAGCUAGGGGAGCGAACAGG